rnacentral:rRNA from 1 species
UAGGGAAUCUUCCACAAUGGGCGCAAGCCUGAUGGAGCAACACCGCGUGAGUGAAGAAGGGUUUCGGCUCGUAAAGCUCUGUUGUUAAAGAAGGACACGUAUGAGAGUAACUGUUCAUACGUUGACGGUAUUUAACCAGAAAGUCACGGCUAACUGCGUGCAAG